rnacentral:rRNA from 1 species
UCUGCUCUUGAUAACUUCGGGAAGGCCACGGGGCUCCGCAUCAACCUGGGAAAAUCGUCGAUAGCACCUAUUAGAUGUGGUAUCGAUCUUCAAGACAUGUUGCAUGGGUUUGGCGGUCCGGUGGUCGGCUUCCCGCUGCGCUACUUAGGCCUCCCCAUUACCAUCUCCCGUGUCCGCCUAGUCCAUGUUCAAUUCAUUCUUGAUCGCAUAAGAGCCAGGCUGGUGGCAUGGAAAGGAUGCCUCCUGUUGAUAGUAGGCCGUAGGGUUUUUGUCCGUUCCGUCCUAACUGUGUUGCCUACCUUCACUCUGACGGUCCUGCGGGCUCCAAAAAAGUUGCUCAAAUACAUCGACAAGUGCAGGCGACGCUUCCUUAGGGCUCAUGAUGAGGAACUCUCCGGUGGCAAAUGCAAGGUCAAUUGGCCCACAGUCUGUUCCCUAAUGGACUACGGGGGCCUCGUCAUUCUUGAUCUGCGGCAGUUCUCUCACGCGAUCAGGCUCAGGUGGCUCUGGUUCCGCUGGCGUAAACCUGAUCGGCCCUGGGCGUGCUCGGAGCUGGCCUGCGAUGACUCAGACAAGAAGCUUUUCGUUGUAGCAACAAAGGUGACUAUUGGCAAUGGUUAA